GCUCAAUUCAGUGGUACAUUUGCAAAAAAUGGAAAAAUACAGAUUAGCAUGGCCUCUGAACAAAGAUAGCAUGCAAAUUAGUGUGGGGCAUUCUAAACUUUU